UUCUCAGCUUACUCUAUAAAAGGUGAGAGCCAUUUUAAUAAAGAGGCCAUUUCACCUUGGACCCUCGAAGUGCGCCAACCCUUUCUUCCCACAAAAAGCUACACACUAUCACCAAUCUUAGAAUGGAAGAGAUAGAAAAAAAUCCAAGGUGUAAACGGGUUUUUUUGAUGAUUUUGUGUCUCUCAGGAAGACUCUUACUGUCUCCUUUCUAUGAAACCUGUGCAAAAAGGAGAGAAAUUCUGGAAUUGCAGGACCUGACUCACUAAGAUAUGAAGACAUUCUGGAAAGACAGAGGAGUGCCAAGAAUCAACAAUGAAUUUGUCAUUUAUGAAUGGACCUGAAACCAUCCUUAAAGAGAAACAUAUAUCCAGACUAUGGAAUUUAAAGCACCUGACCUGUUUUCUGAAUCUGGAAAGUGGAAAAACAAGUGAGACUGCUGCUAUCCUGGGCUGAGUCUACCACCAGAACAAGGGAGACCUUGUUGGGAGAUGGCUACUGCAGAUGCCUUCUAGUUUUCUUUGUUUGGUUGGUUUGGUUGAUUGAUUGAUUGGUUUCCUCAGAUGGAUGUGUCUGGCAGGUUGUGAAUCCAGUCUGUAUAGCUUAUUUGAAUCUAAGCAUAGUAAUAUUUUUAAAGUUUAUAUAGAUUAAGUUAAGUAAUGAUGCCAUGGUAUGAGGUUAGAAUACGGCUCAAAGUAAUGGUUUUCUUAUUUCUGAUGUAUAUAAAAAGCUUUCACAUAAAAAAUCUAUAUUGUAGUUUGUUUUUUUUUUCUCCUAAUGUGUGUCAUUUAAUGGGAAAUUUUGUGCCAUUUUUUCAAUGCAUUUUUUGAUGCCUCAAGCAACAAACAGAAAACAGUACUGUGUUAAGACUACUGAAUCUGGUAUGGUGGAUGUUGGACGACUCAGGAGCAAUUUCUUUAUUAAAUUUCCCCUGAAUUGUCUCUGGGUAAAUGGCUUAGUGGAUGUGGGAUAAAUCUAUCAAAGCUCACUGCUAUGAAAGGACAGCAGGCAUGGGGUUGUGUUAUUCUUGUCUACCUUUUUAAUCCUCUUGUCACAAGUAAGCAACAAAAGAAGUGUGUAUUGAGCAUUCCAUUAACAGAAGGAAUUCUGGCAAACCCUUGUUUAAACGUGUCAGAAGACAGAUGACGUAUCUCCAAAUUUCUCCAGUUCUACCUAUCAUACAAAGCCUGAAGUAGACUUCAGAAAAGGCUUACCAUCAUUACAUUUUGGCUUUGUUUAAGUUAAUAUAUAAAGGCAGCCAGGGAUUGAUCCUUGGCCCUGAAGUCAUCUGGAAAAUACAUGUUAUAAACCCAUAUUACCCAAUAGAUUUUUCCUGGAGAGAUCUAGCUGGAGCAAACCAAGCCUAAGAUAUGGAUCAAAAUAACAAUUGAGCAGAGUGAACAGCUGCACUUCAUGCACUGCAUGAUUGUAUGCCAUGGACUGUUUUUUGUCCCUAAGCCUGAGUAGCAUGGCAUGAGUUAUAGACACCGACCUAACUCUCCCACCUUCCCAAACAGGCUUGCCAUAAUGCAUUGCCUAUUGCAAAGAGUCCUUAGCACAUGUGAAUGACCAAAUCAUAGUAAACCACUGUUGCAGAGUGGUGGCUGGCAUAAACUUAAUGAUGGGAUGUGCUUUCCUAACACUUCAACACUGUGGGCUUAACAAUUGUGUGCAUAUAUCAAUGAUAUAUCCAUUUUAAGUUUCCUGGCAUCGGUAUAGCCUUGCAGAUUUUAUGCUCAAGAUUUCUCCUUCCCCCUUUUACAUUUAGUAAUAUAGAUAUUCAGAGACCCAUGCAAUAUUUACCUGAUUGCUUUUUUCUUUAAUUUUUUGUAGCUUGGUCUAAAGCGUUCACAGUACGUUUACGAAAAUACAAAAUGACAUACUGCUGCAUAUGACAGUCAAAUUUUUUUUUACUGACCUAGCAGACUGUAAGACUGAGCAUCUGGAUGCAUAUUAAAUCGGCAAAUAUGGUGAGAAUCUGCCUUCUAGAAGGGAUCACAGCUCAACCCUAUGCUCCAAACAGAGCCCAAGUUUACAGAUAAACAAUACAGAAAGUAAUCGUGCUUUAGACUGACACAUGACUCACAGAAUGACAAGCUUUCUAUAUUUAAUCUUUGCUUAACAUAGAAAAGUUUUCAACAGUGUGAUUAUAACUGCAACAUCAAGCAACCAUGAGCAGAAUAUUCAUUUGCUUGAAAUGAAUGACUGAUGAUGCUGUUGUGGCCUCUCCCCUUUUAUAGAUGUUUGUCUGCAUCGUAAAGGCACCAUGUGGCUUUUCAGACAUCUGGUAACAGCUGAUCAUAUUCAGGACAAGGACAGCAGGACUUCUGUUUGUCCAGAUUGCAACACAGCACUAAUACAAUGAGGAAUCUUGAAUUUUACUUGACUCUAUCGAGUAUUAUAAGCCUCCUCCUUUCAGAGGCAUUCAAGUAUUAAAUGAAAACCGGAGCCCAUUUAUGAAUACAUUGUUACAAUUCUGUAUAUGCCGUAAAAUUAAAGAGCUAUUACACCAGUAACUGAUUAUCAAGAAUGACUGCAGCCAACUGUAAGGGAACACACAAAACUGUAUUCACCAUUGGUUAAGUAAUUUAAAAAAUAAUAAUAAAAUAAAACAAAUGUCAAAACAAGUCUAAGGGUGAAUAGAAGGACAAAUUUCCAUGGAUUUUGUUGAUAGAUUUUGUUUGCUGCUCUGGGGCACAUUCUUACAAAAUGUGCUAUACAGAAAAAAAGAAUUAAACCAAGCUAGAAUGGCUCAGGGGCCUCCCAGGGCUUUUAAAGCAAUGUUUUAAAAUUGUGUCUGGAAAGGGUAGCUUGGGAUUCAGCAUACACCCAUAGGCUGUGGCAAAUUUAGGCCUAAUAGCUCCAAAACAAUGUAAGCAAGCUACUGCAGAUAAUGCAUCUGCCUUCUGAACAUGUGUUAGCAACAGAUUUUCUAAUGUAUAGAUAAUGGAAAUAUAUAUGUAAGGUUAAUAAAAAGAAUAAAAUUAAGAGACUGAAUAUAACUAUUACCAACAUAUCAGAUGACAUUAAAUACCAUCUGUCUGUUCAAGAGCAAAAUAUUUUCUGGUUGUUGUAUUGCUUAUGCAUGGAGAGUUAGGGCUAAAACUUUCAUAGCAUUUAAAAAAAUAAGACACUGUUCCUCCACU